UAACGUGAGCGUCCUAAGGUAGCGCGAUAAUUUGCUUUUCAAUUGAAGGAUGGUAUGAAAGGGUUAACGAAGAAGGUGCUGUGUCUAAAAAUUCAAUUUAAACUAACUUUAAGGUGAAGAGGCCUUUAUGUAAAAGAAGGACGACAAGACCCUAUGAAGCUUUAUCUUAAUAGGAGCUCUCAGGCUCUUAUACGAUUUUGAUGGGAGAUCAGUAGAAAGAAGUCUUCUACUAUCGUAUUAAUCUUACUAGUAUUUCCUAACUUUAUAUGUGUGGCUAGCUACUCUAGGGAUAACAGCGCAAUUUCUCCCGAAAGAUGGUAUUGGAGGGGAAGAUUGCGACCUCGAUGUUGGCUUUAGAUAUCCUAGAGGCGUAGAAGCUUCU
rnacentral:rRNA from 1 species